rnacentral:rRNA from 1 species
UNGGAAUCACUGGGCGUAAAGGACGCGUAGGCGGAUUAUCAAGUNUCUUGUGAAAUCUAACGGCUUANCCGUUAAACUGCUUGGGAAACUGAUAAUCUAGAGUAAGGGAGAGGCAGAUGGAAUUCUUGGUGUAGGGGUAAAAUCCGUAGAUAUCAAGAAGAAUACCUAUUGCGAAGGCGAUCUGCUGGAACUUAACUGACGCUAAUGCGUGAAAGCGUGGGGAGCAAACAGGAUUAGAUACCCUGGUAGUCCACGCCCUAAACGAUGUAUACCGGUUGUUGCUGUGCUAGUCACGGCAGUAAUCCACCUAACGGAUUAAGUAUACCGCCUGGGGAGUACGGUCGCAAGAUUAAAACUCAAAGGAAUAGACGGGGACCCGCACAAGCGGUGGAGCAUGUGGUUUAAUUCGAAGAUACGCGAAGAACCUUACCCGGACUUGAUAUCUAACAAAUCAUCCAGAGAUGGAAGAGUGUCUGCUUGCAGAAAUGUUAAGACAGGUGCUGCACGGCUGUCGUCAGCUCGUGUCGUGAGAUGUUGGGUUAAGUCCCGCAACGAGCGCAACCCACGUCAUUAGUUGCUAACGGUUCGGCCGAGCACUCUAAUGAGACUGCCUUCGUAAGGAGGAGGAAGGUGUGGACGACGUCAAGUCAUCAUGGCCCUUAUGUCCGGGGCGACACACGUGCUACAAUGGCAUAUACAAUAAGACGCAAUAUCGUAAGAUGGAGCAAAUCUAAAAAAUAUGUCCCAGUUCGGAUUGGAGUCUGCAACUCGACUCC